rnacentral:lncRNA from 1 species
CUUAUAAUCAAGUGAUGUUCUACUCUAUACAAUUAUUUUUUAAAAUUACUUAAUUUUUUAAAAUUCACAAUACUAAUUAUUAGGGAAAACUUCAAAUAUCCCUCAUGUAGUUUCGCACGUUUUUAUUUUAGUACCAUAUAGUUUAAAGUGUAUCAAAUUAGUGCCAUGUGAUUUCUCACUUUAUCACUUUAGUACCCUAUGAUUUAAAGUGUAUCAAGUUAGUACUCUGUGCUUUUAUUUUUGUAUCAAGUUAGUAACCUGUAAUUUUAUUUUUGUAUCAAGUUAGUAUCCUGUAGUUUUUAAACUACAGGGUACUAAAGUGAUAAAGUACAAAACCAUAUGGUACUAACUUGAUACACUUUAAACCAUAGGGUACUAAAGUGAAAAAGUUCAAAAUCACAUAGUACUAACUUGAUACACUUUAAAUUAUAAAGUAUUAAAGUGAGAAAAAAUGAAACCACAAGGGGUUAUUUGAAGUUUUUCCUAAUUGUUAAGUGCAUAAAGUGUUUCAUAC